rfam:Schistosoma haematobium scaffold3221_5, whole genome shotgun sequence.
AUUCAACUGACGAGUUUCAAAUAGAACGGGACAUGCGUCCUGGAU